UUUGGUUAAAACACCCUUAUGUUUGGUGAUUUUUAAAACAAUCCCCCUUUUGUUUUUUUUUGUGAAAUGAACCUCCAAACGUUUUAUAAAAAUUUUGGUUGCACCCCCAAAACCUAACUUCCGUUAAAUCCAGACGUUUGUGGGGCCCACCUAUGCUAUUUUAUAACAACCACUUCAUCCCCAAAUCAGGAUAUUCCCUCUCUCACAACAGUCAUUUUCCGACACCCCCCAAAUUGAUGCUGCUAAUCCAAAAUUUCAAACGGAAAAUUGCAAUUCCACUCUCUAAAUGACAAUUCCUGACAUCCUUCAAAUCAAGGUUAUGGCAACCAAAUGCAAUUGUCGAAAUCCUGCUAAGAUUUUGAGGUCAUGGACGCAUGACAAUCCUGGGAGAGUUUCUAUGCCUUCAAAUUCUCAGAUGUUCAUACUGGAAGAGAAGGGUGUGGAUUCUUUGGAUGGGUUGACAAGAAUCAAGAGGAAUGGCAGAAGGUGGUCAUUAAUGAACUAGUGCUGGAGAAGAGGUUGUUGACACAUAAAGUAACGUUUUUAAUGAGUGAAAUCGCAAGGAUUCAAGACACUAAGCCAAAGGUGGAAAAUUUGGUGGUGUUGAACAAAAAAUCAUGAGCAUCAAAAAGGCAAAAUGCACCAAAAAAUUGUGGAUUUAUCACUGGAUUGUUUGUUGGGGUAGUUGCAAGUUUUUUCAUUUUAUUCCUCAUUGUUAAUGUAAUUUUUAAAGAGAGAGAGAGUGCUGGAUAGGAGAGACUGAAAGAGAAGAUGAAAAGGUAUAGAUGAUGACAAGAAAGAUGUUGAAUUUCUGACUGAAGCAAAUGAGAGAGAUGAAAUCAGAAACGAAGGAAUUGAAUGAGAGAGAUGAAGAGGUUAGUUGAAGGGUUUUCUUACCCAAGGAUACAAAUGUCAUUUCACGCAACAUUUAGGAAGGAAAAUGGAAAAAAGGGCCCACAAACGUCUGGAUUUGACGGAAGUUAGGUUUUGGGGGUGCAACCAAAAUUUUUAUAAAACAUUUGGGGGUUCAUUUUAAAAAAUAAAACAAAA